rnacentral:tRNA from 1 species
GACUUGGUACUUUAAUUUAAAAGAUCUGAUUUGCAUUUAGAAAAUAAGUUUUUUAUACUUCUAGGUCA